UAGUGUGUGUCCGUCUGUCUGAGUAUAUAACUGCAAGCCACAAACAUGAGGGCCAUAGGUGGCCAUAGCCAUGGCUCAUGGCUUGGUGGGGAAGACAAACAUGUCAGUGUAGAUAGCUCCAAAGUGUUACAGAUUCUGUGAGAGAAAAGAAUCAGACAAAUGUGAAACACCAAGGAAGGACAGGCGGGUUCUACCUAAGGCAUGGGAUGGGUUAGGAGCCUUCAGAGAGGAACGGAAGCUUGAGUUGGCCACACAGUGGACUAGGGCUGAGUCACAGAGGGUCUUGAGCCCCAGGCUAAGAAAUGGGGCUUUGUGCCACAGGUCGUACAUAGAAACCCACUGGAGAAACUGGUCACUCUCUAUCAUAAAAAUAAGGCAAGGAUCAAAUUAAACUGGAUGAAAAUGCACUGUGGAAAUGUACAAUGGGGCUUCCACAGGCUUGUCAAGGUCAUCCUGCCAAGGGGCUGUAGACAUUUGUCAUACUGGAGUAUGCCCAUUACCCCAGCCACCCCAUGGUUUGGUCUGAAAUUCACAUGUCUCAGCCCAUCCUGCUUGUUGGGAAAUGGAUCUAAUCUGCUCACCAGAAGAAAGGACAGUAGGUGGGAGCUUCCAGCCAGCUGUUACAUAAAUAUUAGAGAAGAACUUCUUCAAUGGAAGCAAUUCUUGAUGGUUUUAUCUUGUUUAUGCUCCUUUGGAAGAGAUGUUGCUCAAUUGUUUUCCAUUUCUCAUCUGAGCUUUCUUAUCAUUACAGCAACAGAGAUGACUCAGGGGCCAAGAGGUUUUGUGGGGAGAGGGGGGAGAGUGAUACAAAAAACCUACGGGCACUUUAACAUCCACAAUCAUAUCAACAUGUUAUGGAAAGAUGUGGUUCUGGAAUUGGACAGACUUGAACAAAAAUCUCCACUCUAGCACUAACUACCUCUGUGACCUAGGAAGAGUAAACUUCUUUGCUUCAAUUCUAAUCCACAAAAUGAAGAUUAAACUAUUUUAGUUUUAGGGUGUUUUGAAUAUGAAAUUCAAUAAGAAUAUGAGCUUGUCAGGAACUGUGAGGGUGCUGAGAUUUUGCCUGCUUGUGAGGUAAGCCAAGCCUGUAACAGUUCCAUGCCUGCUGACAGAAGACACAGGACAAAGGGCUUUCUUACUCACAGCAAGGGCAUGGACAUCAGCAUUUGUGUGGACCUUCCUGUUUCUUAGCCCCAGGUGGGCAGUGCGGGUGCUCCCCAGUGGACACUUGUCCACAGGGUAUGUUGACUUCCAAAAGAAGAACCUUGAGCUAAAAGAACCAGAGUCUCUUUUGAUGGGCAGUAAGCAUGCCUGCCCCUCUGAUCUGAGAAAGGCUCCAUCUCAGUCUCCCAAAGCUGUUUGCUAUACAAAUGUCUUUGAAAAGAUAGUCCAGAACAGCCAGUUCAUGCCUCACAAGAUGUGAGAAAUUUGAGAGACCCAAGAACCAUUUUCCCCCAAAACUGGUGCCCGUGAGAGCUCAAUACGUACUGAAUAAGUGUGUACACACAUUAAACUCUAGCAAUGUGUUAAGUAGCUGGACUAGGAGCCCAUUGAAGUAUCCCCACCUUGUCACCAGCCAACCAAAAAGCAUAUUCUGCUUCCUAAAGCCAAUGGAGGAGUUUCAAGGAGAAAACUUUUCUCCAUCCUUUUGCUAAUCCCUGAGAGAUGUGGCUGCAGGUUUUGUGGGGUUUAUUGGUUUGCUGUCAUAAGAACAAAUAGAGGUAACACUAUGGGAAUGUCUCAGUUCAUGGGUAAACUCAUAAAUCCAGAGCCUUGACAAUGAGGCUUGAUGGAAUUCUCCAGCUUCUACUUCUAAGGUCACCCAGUGAUCAAGAGGUCUCUCUUACCAACAUUAUAGAUCUCAGAGGAUGCUUUAGAUAGGCAGACCCCCCCCCCCCCCAGUCUUUAACUUUAAACCAAACACGUUGGCCACCUUUUGUUUUUCAGAUAGCUGAAAUCAUUCUUUUUCUCCCGAAGUCAAAGAGUAAGAAAGAGUUCUACAUUCAGCUCUCCAAGGAUACAGCACUCCAGGUGCUCCCUUGGAUGUCCCAUGAGCAGGCCACCUCUUCCUUUGGGGAGGACCAUUUAGGUCACAGCCACUGCUCAUCAGACAUUGUCUUCUAAGGGUGACAAGUGGAGACAUUAGGACAAAAUGAUGGCACGGGAGAAACAGUGGGAAUCAGAAGCCUCUACACAUCCUGUCUCUGACCAGAGAUGCAGGGAAUGAGACCCGGAGGUGGCAGAGAAGAACGGACUGCUAAGGCAUGUUUGUGUGGUGCAAGGCGGGAUAGAGACAGGAGGGCAUUUCUGACUUUGGCUCUGAAGCUUUUCUCAGGCCAGAGCCCCAUCCUGGCCCACAUACAACUAGGAUACAUAAAAAAGGCUAUGCUUAAAGGCCAGCAAAUUAACCGGGCAUGUGCCAGACAAGGCCACAUAAACCAAUCUGUGUCCUUAUGUCCAACCUUCUCAUUUCCCUUGGAGAGGAAAAAAUGGGGUUUGGAGACUCCAAAGGGGGCAGGCUCCACCUAUUUUGUAAAUACAAGCACUUGUGCCAUACUAGCAACUAGGCAACACCAGUAUCUGGCUAACACUGAUACCUGGCAAUGUUGGGCACUUGUGCAAUCCUAGUAUAUGUGCAAUACUGAUUCCUGAGCAAUACUCGCAGCUGGGCACUACUGGGUACCCAGGCAGCAGUGGGCACUUGUGAAGCCCUCCCACCACCCUCUGUGUCCCUGACAGCCAUUACUGAUUGAUUACAUCAUUCUACCACCAGAGCCCGGCUGGGCUUCAUUAUUACCCCCUCAUCUCAAUCCCAGCAGCCUGAGCCAGGCCCAGAUGUGAUCUGACAAUGGAAGUGACCUUGUUGGCAUCUUGCUAUUGCUUGUCACUAGCUAAAGAAGAUAAGCUGGCUCCUGGGAGUUGACAUGGAGCAGAAUGGGGAGGCUCCUCUCUUUUAGUCUUCAUUUUCUCAUCAGCGUAAAGGGGAUGAAAAGUCCUAGCCUCCCUGCUUCAUGAAACUAUUCGGAGUAGCCAGUGCUGAGACGGCGUUGCAAAUGUGUGGUGGGCUGAAAGCCUCCCCCACCAGUCUUCUUAUCCUUGCCAAUGCCUUGUUGAAAUGUACCAUGCAAAACAUAUGGAGGGUCCUCCCCACACACAGACAUGUUCGAUUUUCAAAAUAACAAAGCUGGAGAGUGUCAACAGCCAAACUGAACUGGAAUUUUUGGCAGCCAACAGCAGCUUCCCCCCUAGGGAGGUAGAAGGAAGUUCUUUAACUUGUUUAUCCCACUUAUUAUUAAUCACCUGCCAUUGAAAAAUGAUUCUAAGAGGAAAAAAUGUGCCACUGAAUUACUAAUCAAAUAAAUAAGUAUAUGCAUUUUAUUUUACUAAUUAAGGCAGAGACUAUCUAAAAGAAGCUUAUCCAAAGCCACUAAAGGUACAAUGGGCACAUGCUGGUAGAGCAGACUCGGCAGUACCUUUGGCAGUGUGCCAAGAAUCUCAUAAAUGUUCACAUUCUUUGACCCUAAAAUUCUUUCUCUAGAAGUCUAUCUUGAGAAAAUAUCUUGAAAUGCAGACCAAGAUUUCAGUUAAAAAGCAUCUUUAAUAGCUCUGUUUACAGUAAGGGAAAUAUACAACUGCUUAAGUAUUUAUCAUUAGAGGAAUGUUAAGAAAAUUAUGAUGUGGACUUGCAAUUAGAUAUUCUGAAGCAAUAAAAUGAUGUUACAGAGAAUUGUUAAUAAGUUCAAGAAAUGCUUGUGAUAUAAUGUUAAGGGGGAAAAAUUAAAAUACAUGAUACACCCCCAAUGCAAACUCAGCCAUCCUAAAAAGGCACAGGAAAGAGUGGAAAGCCCACCUGCAUGCUAACAGUAACCAUUUAGGGCAUGAAGGCCUUUGAGAGACGUUUCCUCAAGAAUCAAGGAAGCUUUUCUGAGACUCCUCGCCCUUUGGAAGUGGAGACCAGAGCUUCACCACGGCCUGUUUGGUCUUUGCCCUUGGGGUUUGGUGCCUUUAUGGGCUCCCUCACCCUGCUGUGUAUCUUUGUCAAGGGGUCCACACCGCCACAUUGUGAGUCUGCAAAGUGGAUGUCUCCCUCUCUGUCUCAGCAACUGCAGAAAACUUCAGCUCCUCUGGACAAACGGAGGUACUGCUGCAGGCAGUAAUAGACCCAGCUAUGGAACCUAGGAGAACAGAGGGGAAAUGCCAUCUUCCCCUGCAAGCUCAUCUAACUCUAGUUUUCUUCCAAAGAUACCCUCCCCAAAUACCACCCCACUGGGGCUUACAGCUUCAACAUAUAACAUCCAGGCCACCACAGUCAGGAUUUCUCUGUCUCUUGCUAUCAGGAAUAAAACAGACUCUGCUGCCCAGCCUCUCCCCCUUCUUCAAGGAUAGGCUCCCAGCCCACACCUUCCCCUAUAAUUUAUAUACAGUCCUCCAAGUCCCUGGGGACUCACCCUCUAGCCACAGUUGAUUGGUCCAGAAGAAGCACCUGAACCAAGUGGAGCCAAUCACAGGACUCCCAUCCCCCUCCCAAGACCCACACACUUAUAGAUGAGGACUUUGGCUCUAGUUGUGCUCAACUCUGAGCUCUUCUGUAUGAUUUUUUUUUAAUUUUUAAUGUUUCUAGUUAUUUUUGAGAGAAAAGGACA